rnacentral:lncRNA from 1 species
UUAUAAAAGUAUUAAUUUGGGGAACUAAUAAAUGUCUAUGAAAUCUUCACAAUCCACGUUCUUCUGCCAUAGCUUCAGCCGGUCCCUCCGUUCGGGGUCCCUGACUUCCCGCAACAACCUAAGUCUCAUUACAGAAAACAUCUCUUCUCUGAGAGUAAUCAAGAUUCAAGUACCAGUGAACUAUCUUGGACCAGUAACCAGAAAAAGAAAUCCCUAAAAUCAUAUUCCAGUAGAAAGAAGACAAGAACCAGAAGUAAUUUGAGAAUCUUGCCAGUUUUCCCUCCCAGUAGUGGCAGUGGCCAUGAGAAAGACCAAGCUAAGCUUCUAUCACCAUCAGAGAAAGAAAUACCCGAGCAAAAUAACACCACAUCUCCAAAGACUUCUGAACAAAAAUUCCAAGAUAGUUUUGCUUUUUUGACUGCUGAAGAUUCUGCCCAGAAAACAGAUUGUGAACCAAGAAUCACUAACAGAAAGUACUAGCUUGAAACAUAAGCUGAGAAACUUGGAAGACAAAGACAUACCAGAAGGUAGUUUUGCUAAGUCACAACAAUCAAGAUUGGAAGAAGAGGUUGCUCCGGGAUCCCCUUUCUCAAUAACAGAAGAAAGAGAGUUGCCAGAAGGAAUUUCCACUUCAUCCCUAGAAGUUGUGCCAGAGAACUUGAACGGUUCUGCCAUUCUCCCAACCUUUGAAAACUUCACUAAAAAACGGAAAAGAAAAUAUGAGCUUAGGUACAGAAAGCGUCCGUUUAAUUCAGAAAAUGCAAAGAAAGCACCGGAUUGCCUAAUAAAACUUUUAAACCAGAUGCAACUGUUCAGACUCAAUAAACUAGAGCGCUUUCAAAAUUUGGUUCUUCAAGAGUUGAGCAGUCUUAAGCAGGAUAUUCAGGCCCUGGAACACCUUGAGAAGGAGGUUCUGGAAUUCUGGGGGAAACAGUCUGCUGAUCUGCAAUCUUUCUGUGAUCUGCAAGUGCUGAGGUUCAAUUCAACUCAGACUUCAUAAGAAAGCCAAAGCCUGGUUUUAUGAUUGCAGCCCUCAGCCUGGGCUGCCUGAAGACGAAGAGAAAGAGCAAGGUUAUUGUUGGCUCAGGCCUUGUUAGCCAGACUUCGUGCUCUGUACGCAUUCAAUUUCCUCCCCUCCAAACAUCAUCCCUGGGAACUGCUGAGUUCAGAUAGAAUAUAUGUUGGUAGUUUGCAGUUGGGUUAUUAUCCAUUUGUUCAUAAAAAUUAACCUUUUGUAUUAAAAUUUGGUCAGAUAGUAUUAAUAGAAAGUUCAGGAUGUUAAACAACUUGGAGUGGUGUUGCUUUUUUUUUAUAAAAGUAAAAUGGACUUUUUUUUGUUUGAGAAAUGUCUUCAAGUUUUGUGUGAAUAAAACACUUUAGCAGCAUCUGUAUAAAUACAAUUGGAUGUGUCUCUUGGAAGGAGAAAUUUGAGUUGAAGAUGAUGAAGGUAGCUCAG